AUGGAGUACUCCUUCUAGGCUAAAUAUCGCCACGAGACCGAUAGCGAACAAGUACCGUGAGGGAAAGUUGAAAAGCACUCUGAAUAGAGAGUCAAAAAGUACGUGAAACUGCCUAGGGCUCAAGCCCGUUGAACUCGAUUAUCCGGAGCGGAGAUAUUCACCAGCGGCUGGUCGGCGUUCCCCGCCGGCACGCCACUGGGCACUUAUCUCCGCGCACGCGGACAUUGCGAUCCAUUACGAACGCCGUUCCGCUUGCGGAACAAAAUGCCCGGCAAUUGCCCCUUGGUGCGGUGGCUAGUCCCGUAGUAGCGACGCUCAGCUCUGAAGGCCUGCGUCGCGAGCCGGGGCUUACCGCACGUGGUGUGCAGCCGGGCGCGUGAUGGAUUCAACCAGCACACCGUCAGUGGUACCGCCUCGGCGGUCACCCCCCCAGGGCCUAUUGGUGGACGGAUUGUCGAUCGGCAAUGAGCGAAUCGAGGCACCUCCGGGACCCGUCUUGAAACACGGACAAAAAAUUCACAA
rnacentral:rRNA from 1 species